UUUAGCCUUCAUUUGUAAACCAUCAAGUUUUCUUAAUUUAAGAAUAUUUUAUUUCAAAUUAAAAAAAAAAAAAAAUAUAGUUUCACUCGGAAAUUCCUUAAAUAGCUGAAUUUAUAAUAAAUAAAAUACAUAUGUGCCCAAAUAUUUGCUAAACUUACAAAUAAUUAUAACAUUUAUGAAAUAAUUAUUAUUAUCUUGCUUUUUAAAUUUUAUCUACUUAACCUUAUAACGUGGACAAAAUUUUCAUUUCUUGUGCAGGAGCGAGAAAGAUAGAGCAGUGAGAAAAGAGUGGGAGAACCUUUGCGUGAAACCAAGAGAAAACUUACUUGGCUUAAGCUCGCAGUACUCUUGGUUCGAAAUUUGUAUUUUAAUUCAAGUUAUCACUGUUUAUUGACUCAAAACAUCGCAUUACUUUAUUCAAGAUUGUAACUUUCUUGUACUGAACAUUUAUAUUUUUUGGUUAAAGUAACAAUUAUAUUACAAUUUAAAAUCCAAGGAAUUUUUUCAUUUCCGUCAAGAAAAUCUCGGUUUUCAUUCCAUGCCCUCAAAAGUUUCUUGGCUCAAGAAAAAUUUCAUUGAGCCAAAUAAUUUUUUUUCUGUGUUGGACAAAGAAAUGUUCUAGAAAUCAAUGAAUCGCGUCGAUUGCCACAUUGAACAUUAAAAUCGAUUGAUUAGAUCAAAAGAUAUCGACGAGAAAACGUUUCAAAACUAAAAUUUAAUGUCGUUUUUCCCAGAUAAAUCUCAAUACAAUGUACUAAACUGUGUUCAAAGUCAUACCUACUUUUUGAUUUCAUUGUCUC